GAUGAAGAACGUAGCGAAAUGCGAUACUUGGUGUGAAUUGCAGAAUCCCGUGAACCAUCGAGUCUUUGAACGCAAGUUGCGCCCGAAGCCACUAGGCCGAGGGCACGCCUGCCUGGGCGUCACACGCCGUUGCCCCCCCAUCUACUCCUUCGGGAUUGCGGGGGGGCGGAUGAUGGCCUCCCGUGCGCCUAGCCGCGCGGUUGGCAUAAAUACCAAGUCCUCGGCGACGCACGCCACGACAAUCGGUGGUUGCGAAACCUCGGUUGCCCGUCGUGUGCGUUCGUCGCGCAUCGAGGGCUCGAAAAAAUGCUCGGCUCCGGCUGGGCUUUCAACGCGACCCCAUGUCAGGCGGGGUUACCCGCUGAAUUUAAGCAUAUCAAUAAGCGGAGGA
rnacentral:misc_RNA from 1 species